AUUCCAGCUCCAAUAGCGUAUAUUAAAGUUGUUGCAGUUAAAAAGCUCGUAGUUGGAUUUCGGAACCGGCCGAUUGGUCCGUCCUCUGGAUCGUGUACUGAUCGGUCUGUUCUUCUUCGCGAAGACCGCGUGUGCCCUUAACUGGGUGGGCGCGGGAUUCGCGACGUUUACUUUGAAAAAAUUAGAGUGUUCAAAGCAGGCAGUCGCUUGAAUAUCUCAGCAUGGAAUAAUAGAAUAGGACUUUGGUCUUAUUUUGUUGGUUUCCGAGACCGAAGUAAUGAUUAAUAGGGACAGUUGGGGGCAUUCGUAUUUCAUUGUCAGAGGUGAAAUUCUUGGAUUUAUGGAAGACGAACUUCUGCGAAAGCAUUUGCCAAGGAUGUUUUCAUCA
rnacentral:rRNA from 1 species